rnacentral:lncRNA from 1 species
UGAUUUUAGUAAUAGAUUGCAUCACAUCCUAGUAUGUUUUAGGCUGUCAUUUUCCCUAUUUUCUAGGUGAUUUUGGUCGUAGAUUGCUGCCCAUCCUUUAAACAUCUCCACGCCUCGUGAUUAAGGGACAUCAAGGUGGUAAAACAAAUAAAAUAAAUAUAGAAUAAUUUUUUCUAAAUUUAAGGAUCAUAAGAAAUAGGUUGCACAAAAUACUUCUUAAGAAAUAGGUUGGAUUAAGGUCGAUCAAAGUAAAAACUGUGGCACAGGUCUACCUGGAUGCUUCUUCAACUCGCAGAAGAUGAAGAGACUGCACAAGAUACAAAAUGGUAAUGGAUAAUUCUGUGGUUCAACUCCAUAUCGUUCAAUUUUCAAUACCAUCUACCCCUCAAGCUGACCUAUUAUGAUUUUUAGCCAGUGCAAACAGAAGAAAACAAACCAAAUAAUGACCUAGUUCUGCUGUUUUAUUGCAAACAGUAUAAGCCCCUACUCAACAACAAACUAGCUCUGCUAUUUUAUCACAUAUGCAAGAAGGAAGUUUGAACUUGAUGCAAAUGACUAAAAU